GUUUCUGUAAUGUACUGGUGAGCACUCUGAACUCUGAAUCCAGAGAUCUGAGUUCAAAUCUUGGUGCCAACU
rnacentral:tRNA from 1 species